rnacentral:misc_RNA from 1 species
AUGCUUUAACACUUAUGACAAUCUCAAUCUUGCAGAAUUUGGCACAAAGUGACACCGAAAUAAAGACACCCCCCAACAAUAAAAAUCAACCUGAUGAGUUCAUAACAGUGUGUAGAAUCUUGUUUUAUGCAACAAGAGAGUUCUCGUGUUGUUUAUAUCUGUUUUAGCAUAUGGUACCUUUAAUGUUUGUAUUUAUUGAUGUACAAUUAUUGUCUGAAAGACGUAAUCCUUUUAUCAUUCCCAGAGACAACUACAUUAACAAGAAAUGUUUUCAAAAAUCAAACUAUAAUCUUGUAAGAUUAUUGCAAGUGUCUGCAUUUAGUAAAUAGACAUACAUAUUUAUCUUUAUUUUACGUGAAUGAUAAUAUGAAGAAAAAAACAGCCCUUGUUCAGUUUGUUUUCCGUUUUACAGGGGAUGGUGCAUUUAUUUCUCGUUAUUUGUUAUGUUUGCAUUGUGUAUUAAAGAUUUAUCAUAUUU